CCCGCACAAGCGGUGGAGCAUGUGGUUUAAUUCGAUGAUACGCGAGGAACCUUACCUGGGCUCAAAUGUAUGUUGACGUAUUCUGAAAGGGAUACUUCUUCGGACAAUAUACAAGGUGCUGCAUGGUUGUCGUCAGCUCGUGCCGUGAGGUGUCGGGUUAAGUCCCAUAACGAGCGCAACCCCUAUCAUUAGUUGCCAUCAGGUCAAGCUGGGGACUCUAAUGAAACUGCCUACGCAAGUAGUGAGGAAGGUGGGGAUGACGUCAAAUCAGCACGGCCCUUACGUCCAGGGCUACACACGUGCUACAAUGGCCGGUACAAAGGGCAGCUACCUGGUGACAGGAUGCUAAUCUCAAAAGCCGGUCUCAGUUCGGAUCGCAGUCUGCAACUCGACUGCAUGAAGUUGGAAUCGCUAGUAAUCGCGGAUCAGCCAAGCCGCGGUGAAUACGUUCCCGGGCCUU
rnacentral:rRNA from 1 species